CAUGAAGAUAGUGUUUAACUCCACCACUAAUCUGACCGACCCGACAGUAACAGACAACAUGCUUAAAGAGUUAAAGUCAGCGCUGGCUCUGAGAGGAAUCCCUAAUGUGACGCUGAGCUGGUCUCAAAACCUUGAAGAAGCAGUGAUCCAUAAUCUGCACAAAAACGAUGCCUGCUGAAGCAGAUGUCAGACUCUGGGACUUCUCUGAGGAGUAACAGCCAUCAUGAGUUUAAUUUCAUUAUAUUAUAUUCAUUAUAUCCAUCUCACAGUCACUGCAAA